UGCACUUAUGGAAGACAAGGAUGAGGUUGGCGAUGAAAGACCGGGAUUUGUCAGUGGAGGAUCAGCAAGCUUGCUAUAUAUGGUGCACAUGCACUUUAUCAUAUCCUCGGACAGCUUGUUUGGUGUAUCAGGAACGUGAUCAGAGAUACGGGUGCCUAGAUGCUCUGCCAAACUGAUUACAUUUGAAGAAGCAUUUUGUGCAUACUCCAUCAUAGAUAACGGUUGAGAAUGACAGGCACGCAAUGUUUUGCCGAGUGUCUCUUCCGGUGGGGAGGCUCUGCUCGACAGAGCUGAACGCUGAGACAACGACGAAUGGCUUCGAUGAACUCCAGAUUCGUUAAUUUUGUCUUCCACCAUACAAUUGUUUUCUUUUCG
rnacentral:misc_RNA from 1 species